GUUUUGAUGUUUAAAACUUACGUUUAAGAAUCGUUUUUCAGACUUAUUUAUUACACUUUAUGAUUUCUGGGUACCCUACUAUUGUUUUAAUAUUUGAAUUUAAUGAAAGUCUUUUGAACUUACCAUAUUUAAUUCGCCAUAACAGAGUGUCGUUUUUGAGUUCCAUGCAUCAUGUAUUUUAGUAAUGGCCUAACUUAAGUCCUAGGGGGUCGGGUCGUUACAUAUUAUUAAUCACUGAAAUGUUUGUUCAUACAAGUGUUUACAAACUAUAGAACCCUACGAGAUUUAGGGCAUCAACCCCAACAUAGGUGUCCAAUGAGGCAGACCAUGUGCCCAACUUGCUGAGCCAGACAUCCAACUCAAUUGACAAAAGCAGUCUUUGUGUCCAACUGUGCUAAAGAAGCCAACCCUGCGCUCAACAACUGUCUUUUCCAAUCUAAAGGUUUAGUGUAAUACCUAUUGGGUUGGUAAGCUAGUUUAGGGUUAAAGAAGUGUUCUAAAAUUAUUUUAAUCCUAAACAAAGGAUUUUAACCUAGUUAUUGGAAUAAUAUAGGCUCAGGAUCUAGGAAGAAACCCCCGGAAAACUAGGGAACUUGGAGAAAAGGUAGAGUAAAAAUGGAGUUCCAAGUACUGCUAAGGUCAAGAUCUGCCAUGCUUCCAAACUUAAGUUUGUUACAAAGAGUUUAUGUAAUUAAGGGUCUUGAGUUGUUAAGUUGAGUUUGGGAAUUGUAUAAACUUUUAUAUUGAUUUGUAAUAAAAUAAGUUAAGCCAAA